rnacentral:rRNA from 1 species
AACGGCGAGUGAAGCGGCAACAGCUCAAAUUUGAAAUCUGGCUACAUUCCGUAGUCCGAGUUGUAAUUUGUAGAGGAUGCUUUUGGUGAGGUGCCUUCCGAGUUCCCUGGAACGGGACGCCAUAGAGGGUGAGAGCCCCGUACGGUUGGAUACCAAGCCUCUGUAUAGCUCCUUCAACGAGUCGAGUAGUUUGGGAAUGCUGCUCUAAAUGGGAGGUAUAUCUCUUCUAAAGCUAAAUAUAGGCUAGAGACCGAUAGCGCACAAGUAGAGUGAUCGAAAGAUGAAAAGCACUUUGAAAAGAGAGUUAAACAGCACGUGAAAUUGUUGAAAGGGAAGCGCCUAUGACCAGACUUGUUUCUGGCAGUUUCGUUAGCCCUCGGGCUGAUUUACUCUGUCCAGUACAGGCCAGCAUCAGUUUGCUGUCGGGGAGAAAGGCUCUGGGAACGUAGCUCCCCCCUUCUGGGGGGAGUGUUAUAGCCCUCUGCAUAAUACCCUUCGGCAGACUGAGGACCGCGCUUCGGCAAGGAUGCUGGCGUAAUGGUCAUCAGCGACCCGUCUUGAAACACGGACCAAGGAGUCAACCUUAUGUGCGAGUGUUUGGGUGUAAAACCCCAGCGCGUAAUGAAAGUGAACGUAGGUGAGAGCUUCGGCGCAUCAUCGACCGAUUCUGAUGUUUUCGGAUGGAUUUGAGUAAGAGCACACAGGGUUGGACCCGAAAGAAGGUGAACUAUGCUUGUAUAGGGUGAAGCCAGAGGAAACUCUGGUGGAGGCUCGCAGCGGUUCUGACGUGCAAAUCGAUCGUCAAAUAUGAGCAUGGGGGCGAAAGACUAAUCGAACCUUCUAGUAGCUGGUUCCAGCCGAAGUUUCCCUCAGGAUAGCAGUGUUGAAUUUUCUUCAG